rnacentral:rRNA from 1 species
AGAGUUUGAUCCUGGCUCAGGACGAACGCUGGCGGCGUGCUUAACACAUGCAAGUCGAACGAUGAAGCCCAGCUUGCUGGGCGGAUUAGUGGCGAACGGGUGAGUAAUACGUGAGUAACCUGCCUUUAACUCUGGGAUAAGCCUUGGAAACGGGGUCUAAUACCGGAUACGACCAACCCUCGCAUGGGGUGUUGGUGGAAAGGGAUUUUGUACUGGUUUUAGAUGGGCUCACGGCCUAUCAGCUUGUUGGUGAGGUAACGGCUCACCAAGGCGACGACGGGUAGCCGGCCUGAGAGGGUGACCGGCCACACUGGGACUGAGACACGGCCCAGACUCCUACGGGAGGCAGCAGUGGGGAAUAUUGCACAAUGGGCGCAAGCCUGAUGCAGCGACGCCGCGUGAGGGAUGACGGCCUUCGGGUUGUAAACCUCUUUCAGCAGGGGAGAAGCGAAAGUGACGGUACCUGCAGAAGAAGCGCCGGCUAACUACGUGCCAGCAGCCGCGGUAAUACGUAGGGCGCGAGCGUUGUCCGGAAUUAUUGGGCGUAAAGAGCUUGUAGGCGGUUUGUCGCGUCUGCUGUGAAAGCCCGGGGCUUAACCCCGGGUUUGCAGUGGGUACGGGCAGACUAGAGUGCAGUAGGGGAGACUGGAAUUCCUGGUGUAGCGGUGAAAUGCGCAGAUAUCAGGAGGAACACCAAUGGCGAAGGCAGGUCUCUGGGCUGUAACUGACGCUGAGAAGCGAAAGCAUGGGGAGCAAACAGGAUUAGAUACCCUGGUAGUCC